rnacentral:tRNA from 1 species
GCCUGGGUGGCUCAGUCGGUUAAGCGUCCGACUUCGGCUCAGGUCAUGAUCUCAUGGUUCGUGGGUUUGAGCCCCACAUCGGGCU